rnacentral:misc_RNA from 1 species
AAUUAUGUUCCUUUCUCCAUUGAUCAAGCAUAUUUCUUUAUUCAUAAUUUCAUAUAGCUGGCAUUAACAUCUGUUUAAUUUGCAGUGAAGUUAGGGUCCUAACAAACCAUUCAUUUUGGCCUUUUCAUGGGGUUCCUCAUAUUCUGUUGAGUAAUGAAUUAUACUCUUCUACUCCUGAAAACCUUAUUCUAUUAGCUCUAAGGUCAACAAUAUUAUUCCCCAUCAAUUAUGAGUCAGGCAUGUCAACCAUUCAGCCACUAACCUAUACAGAGUUAUAUUGAAGAAACCGUUAGAAUCAUCAAGUUUCUCAAUGAUAGGUUGAAAUACUAUUCAGUAUGUCUACUUCUUUCAGUUGCUUGAUUUACAUUUCUUAAUCGUGUUAUUACAUGUUCUAUGUAGAAUAGGUAGAAUAGCUCAAUGAUUGUAUCAAACUGGAAAUAAAUUUAUCAGUGGAUUAAGAAUCGG